UUGACCACACCCUCAACCGAUCAUCAUUUGAUUCUAAAAAAUUCUAACUACGACUGAAUUUAGCUAAUGAUAAAUCCAAUAUGCAAGUGACUUAUGCAUUCAAAAGGACUUAACAAACCAUUUGGUGCCACUGACUCUAUACCUAAAUAUGCACAUUUAUAACUAAUUCCCUUAUAUUAUCAUUAGCCCAACGAGUUAUCAAUUACUACUCAAGUAAACACGCCCAGAUUGCAUUAGCUUUACCAAUUUUGGAAUUCACAAAAAAGAAAAAGACUCAUCAGUAAGAGUUCAACAGUUCCUGAAUUUAAACAAUUAAAUGCUAACACAUUUUGUCCACAAACGAAUUAUCAGAUUACAGAAUACUAUCUACUCAUGGUGCAAUCAACCAAAAUGAGAUGCAUUAGUGAAGUAAUUCAGUCUCGUUUCCAUUGCAUUUCCAACAAGAUAUACACAUAGGAUUGAGUUUGUGCCAAGUACCUGGAAAUGGAAAUAAAGCAAGAUAGAAGGAUCAACAGUAGCUAUAUAGAAACAGAACAAGGAAAAUUCAGGCAGAAACACUUGAAGUGAGUCAACAACAACCACGAACAACCCAAAAAAUUGGGAAUAAAGCCAGAAAUGAUGUUUGAAAUCAGACAAAGAGAGAUCGACUAAUUAGCUUCGAAACAGACCAAGUAACCUUAGAAAUCACUCAUACUGAACUCAACAUUUCCAGCAGACCCGGGCUCACUCAAACUUAGCUUAAUUGGACUAAACUUCACACGAUAUCACCUCAAUUUUCCUGAACCCAUAACUACCAGACUUUGAACCGAGAGACCAGAAAUUGGACUGAAAAUUCCAAUGGAAUAGUAACUAUUUUUGUUUUUAUGUUUUUCGGUGAGCUUUUUUUUUGUAUUUUUUUCUAUAUCUAAUAGCUGAAAUUAAUCUAAAGCUGGAAAAUGUAAGGAAAAUCAGAAUUUUCUUUUGGAUUUUUUUAGGCUGAAAAAGUUGAACCCCUUUAUAAGAUAUCAAAAUGCCAAUAUAUAGACACUAGAGGGUAAAAGGAUCAGAUUUUAGGGUUUUCUCAUUAGUCCCUCAUUAUUUGCACUUUAACCCCUAAUUUUCUAAAUUGCUCCUCAAGUUAUUCCUUAAGUUUUCAGAAUAUGCACUAAAGCCCUAUUCUAGAAGCUUCUAGGGUGAUCUUUGAUCUGUACAAUUCCUAAGCUACCUUUUAACCUAUUUUAAAAUUACAAAACCUAAAGAUUCUACCCUUUCUAUCCCUAAAAAGCCAUUGACCAGCCCCUAAAAUGACUGCUUUCCUAACCUCACCCAAACCUUACCCCAUUUAAACUAACUAAGGUUGUCCAUCACUAUACUAAUCCGCUAAUGAUCAAAACCACAUAUUAACCUUUCUACUACUGAGCAAAAACCCAAAUUAACUCAACUGAAAUCUAACAAUAUUCACAUACUGACUGAAAUCUAAGAUUACUUUUAACUAAAUUAAAGAAAGAAACCCAUUCAUUUCUACUCAACCAAGAGCUUAACAGAAGCAUUCACGAAAUAGACAAUCAGAACACACAGAAAAAGGAAAAUACGAGAUAAACUAAGCAAAAUGCAGCCAAAAUAGUCAAGACAACUACCAAUUGAAUAAGGAUAACUUAAAACUAAAAGGAAAAUUCGAACAUUAGAAGGAAGUGAAGAACAUAUACGGAAAUCAACUAUUGCAGGAUUCAAAACAACAUUUGAAAUAAUACGAAUAAAAUCUAAUUGAGUCGAAUUAUACUAACUAAGCAGGGCUAAAUACUGAAAGAGCAAGUAAUAACUUCUUCAUGAACCUAUUCUAAGAAACAUGAAAAACCAAGAGAUAAAAGAUUAAAGAAAAGAGAAGAAAUUACCACUAAAAUCUCCCCAUGGCCCAGUUAAUAGAAGAGAAGACGAAGAAGAAAUUAUCAAUUAUAUUAAUUAAAUCUUAAAGCUAAAUGAGAACUUACCGUAAAAAAAUUUCCCCAAAUAGAAGCUAGACUGAUGAACCCUAGAUUUGAAAUCCGCCGAAUUCUACUUGGAUUCGAAGGGUUUUGAUUAGGUAUUAGGGGUGAGGGAUGUCAGGAGAUCAUGGGGUGUGACUUUGGGUGACUUUGUGUCUUGAGCCUGAUUAUUAAACCAAGAUUCGAGGGGCUCAGGUUUGAUUCCAGGGAAAAUAUUAGCAUAUCUGGAACGGGGAGGUUGAGGAGAGUAAGAUGUGUAAAUUUGGUACCGUUUGGCAUCGGCGCGUCCACCCUAGGCGGUGGGAUUUGGUGGCGACGCUGUUAGGAUUCAUAGGAGAGGGGUGCUAUGAAGGAGACGAGUCUGGAGUGGGGGAGGGGGCUGUUCGGACAGAUGUAUAGUCAUAGAUGGGAACUUCGUAACCAUUGGAUCAUCAAACAUCG
rnacentral:lncRNA from 1 species